AGGAGAAAAUAUUAGGACAGAAUGUCAUGUCCAUAAUAGUACUAUAGAAAUUAAAAGCACAUGAAAUUUCGAAAGCAUCGUUUGAUUCAUAUACAAGACAAACAUGGGAAUUUAGAGUCAUAGGGAGAAGGAAACAUGAGGAAGGAUUUCAUGUUUAUUUUCUUAUAAAAUCUCUAAACAAUUGCUUAGUUCAUAAGAAUUUCAAACG
rnacentral:lncRNA from 1 species